rnacentral:rRNA from 1 species
GACGGAGGAUGCAAGCGCUAUCCGGAACGAUUGGGCGUAAAGCGUUCGCAGGUGGCUGUUCAAGGCUGCUGUCAAAGACCGGGGCUUAACCCUAGAAAGGCAGUGGAAACUGGACGGCUGGAGUGCAGUAUGGGUAGAGGGAAUUCCCAGUGUAGCGGUGAAAUGCGUAGAGAUUGGGAAGAACACCGGUGGCGAAAGCGCUCUGCUGGACUGCAACUGACACUGAGGGACGAAAGCUAGGGGAGCGAAAGGG